CAGCAGCCACGGUAAUACGGAGGGUGCAAGCGUUAAUCGGAAUUACUGGGCGUAAAGCGCACGCAGGCGGUUUGUUAAGUCAGAUGUGAAAUCCCCGAGCUUAACUUGGGAACUGCAUUUGAAACUGGCAAGCUAGAGUCUUGUAGAGGGGGGUAGAAUUCCAGGUGUAGCGGUGAAAUGCGUAGAGAUCUGGAGGAAUACCGGUGGCGAAGGCGGCCCCCUGGACAAAGACUGACGCUCAGGUGCGAAAGCGUGGGGAGCAAACAGGAUUAGAUACCCCGGUAGUCCCUGUCUCUUAUAC
rnacentral:rRNA from 1 species